UCUGUAUAAAAUAAAAAGAACUGAUCUUUAUCCGAAAAUUUUGGAGUUUGAUUAACAAUGGCGUCUGAGCAGGCGAGGAGAGAUACCACCGUGACGGAGAGAGAAGUUAGGGUGGAGAAAGACAGAGUUCCGAAGAUGGCAAGCCAUUUCGAGUCGAUGGCCGGAAAAACUGAAGCCACCGGCAGCAAAGGGACGGCGGAGGAGGAGAAACAGAGGCAGGGUGGGACCCAGUUCGAGUCACUUUCCGAAAAGGGGAACAAUAUGCCGGUUUCCGACGAAGGAGAGGAGACGAGGAUGAAGAGGGACGAGAUGCCUCACGCUGUCGGAAAAUUCGUGAGGAGUAGCGGAGAAGAGACGAAGGGUAAAGAGGCAGAGGAACGUCAAAGGCCAACGCUCGAGGACAUUCACGAGGCCAGAGCCAAAGCUCAGCAGAUGUCGAUGGAUGCCAUUAGGGCUGCUGAGGAACGGUACAAAAACGCCAAAGAGAGCUCUAGCCAUGGCGACGAAGCUAAGAGCACUAAGGCGAGAGAGACGAGCGACGAAACAGGGCAACAAGGUAGAGAGGAAACUGGUGUUCAAGGUGCUGAGAAGGCGAAAGGCACAGCGAUGGAGAAAAUUCGACAUGUUCAAGAAUCUGCAGCUGAAACUGCUCAGAGUGCUAAAGCCACCGCCGUCGAAAAAGGACAGCGAGCUAAGGAGAGUGUUGUCGGAAGUGCUCAGAAGGCAAAAGAUUUUGCGGCGGAUAAAGCUCAGAGAACCUCAGAGUACGUGACAGAGAAAGGAGCCGAAGCAGGGGACAUCGCGGCUCGAAAGGGGCAGGAGACGAAGGAACAGGCGGCUUCGAUGGCGGGAAAAGCGAAGGACACGGCGGUUGACGUGACCAAGAAGGUCGCAGAGUACGCAGGAGAGAAGGCUGCAGUGGCGAAGGAGGCGACGGUGGAGGGCGGAAAAGAAGCGGCGCAUUACGCCGUAGUGGUGGCCGACAAGGCGGCGGCGGCAGGAUGGACCGCCGCCCAUUUCACGACUGAGAAGGCGGUGGCCGGGACGAAGGCGGUGGCAGGGACGGUGGAGAAGGCGGUGGAGUACACAGGCCAUAAGGCUGUGGAUUUGGGAUCUAAAGCUGUGGAUAUAACGAAGGAGAAAGCUGGGGCGGCGGCCGACACGGUCGUCGGAUACACGGCCAAGAAGAAGGAAGAAGCUCUGCAUAGUACGGAGAAGAGAGAUGAAACUCAUGAGGGAGCUGAGGAAGAAAGGGAAGGAGGAGAACAUGCAGGGUUCGUCAAGCAAGGAAAAGAAACGACAGGAGGAGCGGAAAGAAACGUUAGGGAGAUCGGAGGAGGAGUGCUUGGGGCGAUCGGCGAGACUAUAGUAGAGAUCGCCCAGACGACGAAGAACAUCGUCAUCGGAGUCGCCUCCGAUGACGAGGCCGAGAGAAUCCACGGCCAAGAAACUCAUUACACGAAACAAGAACAGGGACGACGUUGAUGAGACAGAAGGGCUUUUUGUUUAACUUGGUUCGAAUAAGACAGUGUUCUGUUUUGAUGGGUAAAUAAGAAAGAGAGAUGGGUAUACACUUAGGCUGCUACUAAGCUUUCAUGGAUCGAUCUAUGGUUCUGAGGGCUUGUUGUCUUCGACAACAGAGAACAGUCUCCUUUUGUUAUGGAUCCGAUCAGGUCCUCCUGGUACUGUUCUGAAGACUCGGACACUCGACAGAAACCUCAUCGAGUUGGGGCUUAUAUUCGGUCCUGUCGAUGCCACUCUGUUGACUCCGACACCGGAGAGCGUCGCUGGAGCCCGGCCAUGGACGGGGUUUGGUCGCGCUGCAGAGCUGGCAACGAGGACGACGAGGAGAAAAGCCAUCUUGACUGUAGCAAAGGAAGCCAUUUUUGUUUUCCUGCAGAAGCUUGAAGUUCGAUUGUGCGUGAAGGCUAAGAGCAAAAGGGUUUGGUUUAUAUAAGAGUCUCCGUCACUCAACGCCCGCUUCAAGAAACGCUUUCUUACCAAAAACAAGAUCUGAUUUUGUCAUAAAUGCGGUUCUUGGAUUCCCGCACUGUGUGUGUGACAGGCAUUAUGAGAAGUCGGAUAAUGUUAUUAAUGCGGGUUCUUCUUUGUCCGAGUGUCUGUAGAAGAACAAAGCGCAAAACAUAUGAAUAUCAGAAUCGAUUCCAGGGUUGGGUGAU